rnacentral:rRNA from 1 species
UGUUGGGUGUGAAAUACCGGGGCUUAACUUCGGAAUUGCGCCCAAAACUAUUAAUCUAGAGACUUGGAGAGGUAAGCGGAAUUUCCGGUGUAGCGGUAAAAUGCGCAGAUAUCGGAAGGAACACCGAAGGCGAAGGCAGCUUACUGGACAGGAUCUGACGCUCAUGCUCGAAAGCGUGGGGAGCGAAAGGGAUUAGAUACCCCUGUAGUCCACGCCGUAAACGUUGUACACUAGGUAUUGGAGGAAUCAUCCCCUUCAGUGCCCAAGCUAACGCGAUAAGUGUACCGCCUGAGGACUACGACCGCAAGGUUAAAACUCAAAGAAAUUGACGGGGGCCCGCACAAGCGGUGGAGCAUGUGGCUUAAUUCGAUGCAACGCGAAGAACCUUACCUGGGUUUGACAUGUAUUUGAAUAUGGCCGAAAGGUUAUAGUAUAGCAAUAUACGGAUACACAGAUGCUGCAUGGCUGUCGUCAGCUCGUGUCGUGAGAUGUUCGGUUAAGUCCGGCAACGAGCGCAACCCUCGCCCUAUGUUACUAACAGGUAAAGCUGAGGACUCUUAGGGGACAAACAUAACAUUAGGUGGGAAGGUGGGGAUGACGUCAAGUCAGUAUGGCUCUUACAUCCAGGGCUGCACACGUGCUACAAUGGCCGGUACAGAGGGAAGCCAGACCGCGAGGUUGAGCAGAUCCCGAAAGCCGGUCCCAGUUCGGAUUGGAUGUCUGCAACUCGACUCCAUGAAGCCGGAAUCGCUAGUAAAGGCGUAUCAGCUACGACGCCUUGAAUACGUUCCCGGGCCUUGUACACACCGCCCGUCAAGUCAUGAAAGCCGGUUUCGCCCGAAGUUCGUGAGCUAACCCGCAAGGGGGGCAGCGA